rnacentral:misc_RNA from 1 species
UACGGAGGCCCCAAGCGUUGUUCGGAUUCACUGGGCGUAAAGCGGGUGUAGGUGGUGGCGUAAGUCAGAUGUGAAAGCCCAGGGCUCAACCCUGGAACUGCAUUUGAUACUGCAUCACUGGAGUACGGUAGAGGGAAGUGGAAUUUCUAGUGUAGGAGUGAAAUCCGUAGAUAUUAGAAGGAAUACCAAUGGCGAAGGCAACUUCCUGGCCCGUAACUGACACUGAGACCCGAAAGCGUGGGGAGCAAACAGG